GUGAGGAAUAUUGGUCAAUGGGCGCUAGCCUGAACCAGCCAAGUAGCGUGAAGGAUGAAGGCUCUAUGGGUCGUAAACUUCUUUUAUAUAAGAAUAAAGUGCAGUAUGUAUACUGUUUUGUAUGUAUUAUAUGAAUAAGGAUCGGCUAACUCCGUGCCAGCAGCCGCGGUAAUACGGAGGAUCCGAGCGUUAUCCGGAUUUAUUGGGUUUAAAGGGAGCGUAGGUGGACUGGUAAGUCAGUUGUGAAAGUUUGCGGCUCAACCGUAAAAUUGCAGUUGAUACUGUCAGUCUUGAGUACAGUAGAGGUGGGCGGAAUUCGUGGUGUAGCGGUGAAAUGCUUAGAUAUCACGAAGAACUCCGAUUGCGAAGGCAGCUCACUGGACUGCAACUGACACUGAUGCUCGAAAGUGUGGGUAUCAAACAGG
rnacentral:rRNA from 1 species